GCUUAGCCUAAGCCCAACUAGACCCCCAAACGUANUAUACCAACAAAACAAACCAUUUGACCAAAAAAGUAUUUGAGAAAGAACAUUUAAACCGGCGCAACAUUACCGCAAGGGACAACUGAAAGAAAAAUGAAACACUUAAGCACAGCAAAGCAAAGAUUAACCCUUGUACNUCUUGCAUCAUGAUUUAGCUAGCAACCCCAGACAAAGAGCCCUUAAGCCUGAUCCCCCGAAACUACGUGAGUAUUCCGGGCAAUAAAUGAU
rnacentral:rRNA from 1 species